rnacentral:rRNA from 1 species
GACGUAGGGCGCGAGCGUUGUCCGGAUUUAUUGGGCGUAAAGAGCUCGUAGGCGGCUUGUUGCGUCAGCUGUGAAAACCCGCAGCUCAACUGUGGGCUUGUAGCUGAUACGGGCAGGCUUGAGUUCGGUAGGGGAGACUGGAAUUCCUGGUGUAGCGGUGAAAUGCGUAGAUAUCAAGUGGAACACCAGUGGCGAAGGCGAGUCUCUGGACAUUUCCUGACGCUGAGGCACGAAAGCCAGGGGAGCAAACGGG